AUUAAUAUGGAGGGGUUAGAGAUGAUCGAAAGUCCACCACAGAAUCUUAACUGAUUGGUUUAAACACCAGUAACACAAAUCAAAGUUGACAGCUAAUCAAAAAACAUUGAGGGUAUAAAGCCCUCUUUUUUUGUAAA
rnacentral:sRNA from 1 species